rnacentral:tRNA from 2 species
GCCCCGGUAGCUCAGCAGGAUAGAGCAGCCGCCUCCUAAGCGGCAGGUCGCAGGUUCGAAUCCUGCCCGGGGCACCA